rnacentral:rRNA from 1 species
UACCUAGGGUGCAAGCGUUAGUCGGAAUUACUGGGCGUAAAGCGUGCGCAGGCGGUUUUGUAAGUCUGAUGUGAAAUCCCCGGGCUCAACCUGGGAAUUGCAUUGGAGACUGCAAGGCUAGAAUCUGGCGGAGGGGGGUAGAAUUCCACGUGUAGCAGUGAAAUGCGUAGAGAUGUGGAGGAACACCGAUGGGGAAGGCAGCCCCCUGGGUCAAGAUUGACGCUCAUGCACGAA